GCGUGCGUGUGUGUGUGUGCGCCUUAGUCCAACUGCUUGUUUACCCAUGCUGUCAUGUUAGCAGCUCGUGCAGCAGUCAGCAGGGGAGAGGCAGAGGUGGACCUGACAGACUGAACAUAACAAAUCCUCUGAACAAAGGAAUGUAUUUGGGAAGUUUCUGCCUCCGUCUUGAGUAGAAAGAAAUCUGAGGGGACCAACUUUGCUUGCAGCAGUCAAGCACUGACAACAAGCAGACCUGUGUUGUGAUUGUGGACUGUGUUCUCUGCAGCGAAUGGACGGCAACGAUUGUCCACACUGGCUUCUCGAUUUACACUGAAGUGCUGGCCUGCGCUGGAUCUCAAAGCGAGAGUCCAUCUGACACCAGAGGACGUUUGAUCGUCUGUGUCCAGCCUGUACCCUGUUGGUAUGUUGGCCAUUUGCAAUACUUUCGUCUGUCCGCCCAGUCUCAGUCACACUGUGCGGCACUGAAGCUGUCUCAUAUGCACACUUGUUUUUUCUUUUACAUUUAUAUAGUUGAUACUAGGUAGAAAAGUCAAGAAAACUGUGCUAAUACACACACCUUGUCUAUUUAACACUAAUUAAUGCAUUUUUUUUCUUUUAAUUCCAGAAUGACAAUGUUUUCUGCGCUGCUAAUUUAUUCAAGACAUUCUAAUGUUUUUAAAUCGUGUAUUUUGACUGAGCGUGUUAGUUUAUGCGGGUUUACCCCACAAUAACAUAAUGGAAUCAUUACAAAUAACAUGUGUCGUUAAAAACUCAAGGUCAUUUAAAAAGCACUUGAUUAAUCUGUCUGCCGCUUUCACGUGAUUAAUAAGUGGAAUUUCUCAUUUUGUUCGCUACAUAUAAAGCAACAUAUGGAAUAAUAUCUCCUCUGAAAAGCAAUCGCUGACCACAAAAGAAUCCAUUUUAAACAUUUUAAACAAACCACACUCACGCUUUAGUGCUUCGUGGUUUAAUAUAAGAAGAACAUCUGAUUUAUAUCUGUAAAGUUAAGCUCAGCCACACUGGUUUUGUAUAGCAACAGUCCAGCAUUGUGUUUCUGUUUCCCGAAUAUAAGAUGCCAAAAUAGAAAACAAUACAAUAGACUGAUAUGAGCAAUAUGUUCGAGGGGUUUAUAGUUUCAAGGCAAUAUGAUUUUUCCUGGUUUGCUCCUGAGGUG